rnacentral:rRNA from 1 species
UCGACNAGUAGGUUUACGACCUCGAUGUUGGAUCAGGGUAUCCCAGUGGUGCAGCCGCUACUAAAGGUUCGUUUGUUCAACGAUUAAAACCCUACGUGAUCUGAGUUCAGACCGGAGUAAUCCAGGUCGGUUUCUAUCUAUAAUUUAAGCUUAUUCUAGUACGAAAGGACCGAAAAAGCAUGGCCCAUGCUUGCAGUAAGCCAUCAUUAGCAAUUUAUGACUUCAACUCAAUUUAUUACUAACUUACAACCUCCCCNUCAAAAUUAGAGAA